UCUCUCUCUUCUUUCUUUCUUUCCUUCUUUCUUCUUUCCUUUCAUAAAAAUUCACCGCGUAUUUCACAGCGUUUCCUCUUUCAUUCCAUUCUAUUUUUAUUACUGUGUUACAAAACAGCGCCCACCGCAAAAAGUUAUUACCGUUAACAUUUUCACGUAUCCAUCCAUUGUUUUGCAUGUUACGCUCCUUUACGUAUGUAUUGAUAUGUAUGUAUAGAUAAUUGUUAUUAUAUUUUAUCUGUCUCCAGUUUUAUUAAUAGCUUCAAUAAUGGCUACACCAUGACUAUGCGCAAAAGUAAAAAAUAUUAUAAAGAGUAUUCGUGCUUAGAAGAAGCUAAUGAGAAGGAAACGACUCAAAUCUGAAUCAAUGAAUCCGAAGAAUUCUCAUGUCUUGUAUCACGAUGCAAAAUCGAUUCAAGUACCUAUCUACUUACAUAGAAGACAUAUCGAUCGCUGUAUCGUAUUUAUACUCGUGCUCGUGGUACUUACGAUUCUUUUGUACUACGAUUACCGUUAUUAUUUUACUAUUUUUGUAGCAUAAAUCGUAUAUAUUUUUUGUAAAUGAUUCUAAUGAAACGAAAGCACUUUAUGUAUAAGAGAUUUGGACCUAUGAAAAUAUAAUUUUAAGCGAUGCGAGCAGAGGAUAUUACAGAUUGAGUAUACUUUUUUAAAAACCGGAAGGCAUUACAAACUUGUUACAUAUUAACUGUAAGUGUACAUUUUACAUGUGUGCCGAUCUUCGAGUAUUUUCGAGCUUUUCAAAAAGUAUCCAAGUAUUUUUCAAGUUUCCAGAUAAGUAUUUCUUCAGCUAACCAUACCUAUAUAUAUGUAUUUACUUACUUAUGCGUGUGUAUAUCCCAAUGUGAACGGUUUUAAGGUCUACAUAUGUAAGUAAUCGCUUCGAACUUGUUAACACCUCUUUUCGAAA